GGGGAAGGCAUCGGUCCUCCGAACAUUGGAUAGGCAGAUAUUGGAAGCAUCUUUCAAUGUGGGCAACACAACAAUGCAUCAGAUUCUUGAAGCACAGGGUGAUUCAGUUAUACUGGAGUGUACAUCUUGUGCUGAGGAAGAGAAGAGGUUGAUGGAGGAAGAAAUGAGGAAGGAGGAGGAGGAAGCGAAGAAGAAAGAGGAGGCAAGAAAGGCUGAAGAAGAGAGAAGAGAGAAAGAAGCAGAGGAAGAAAGGAAGAGACAAGAGGAAGAAGCAAGGAAAAGGGAGGAAGAGGAAAUAAGGAGGAGACAGGAAGAAGAGGAAGCUAGGAGAAGACAAGAGGAAGAGGAAGAGGAAAGAGAGAGACAGGAAGCUAGAAAGAAACAAGAAGAGGAAGAAGCAGCACAAAGAGAGGCAGAGCAAGCAAGGAGAGAAGAGGAAGAAGCAGAAAAAAGAAGGCAGGAGGAGGAAGAAUCAAGGAGAGAGGAGAAAGCAAGAAGAAGGCAACAGGAGGAAGCAAGGAGGAGAGAGGAGGAAGAAGCAGCAAAAAGGCAACAUGAGGAAGAAGCAGAGAGAGAGGCAGAGGAAGCAAGAAGGAUAGAGGAGGAAGAAGCACAAAGAGAGGCAGAAGAAGCAAGGAGAAUACAACAGGAGGAAGAAGCAGAGAGAGCAAGGAGAAGAGAAGAAGAAGCAGAAACAAGAAGGAAGGAGGAGGAGGAGGAAGAAUCAAGGAGACAAGAGGAGGAAUCAAGGAGGAGUGAAGAAGAGGCAGCAAGAGAGGCAGAGAGGGAAAGGCAAGAGGAAGCUGAAAGACAAGAAGAAGCUAGGAGACGGGAGGAAGAAACAGAAGAGAGGCAUCAACAAGAAGAAACCGAGGAAGAGGAGCCAGGCCAACCUGAAAUGAACGGAUAUUCCUCAAACUAGCCUAUGAGUGUGUUGUGUAACUAGUGUACUCAGCAAGUUCUCAGGAGCUGAAUAGUCUCUACGUUUUUGUAUAAUCUCAUGUGUGUGUACGUC
rnacentral:misc_RNA from 1 species